rnacentral:tRNA from 1 species
GGGCGCUUAGCUCAGUUGGUAGAGCGUCUGCCUUACAAGCAGAAUGUCGGUGGUUCGAUCCCGUCAGCGCCCACCA